UGCACUUACUGUGUGGAAACAGGCCGU
rnacentral:piRNA from 1 species